rnacentral:rRNA from 1 species
UACAGAGGUCUCAAGCGUUGUUCGGAUUCAUUGGGCGUAAAGGGUGCGUAGGCGGCGCGGUAAGUCGGGUGUGAAAUCUCGGGGCUUAACUCCGAAACUGCAUUCGAUACUGCCGUGCUUGAGGACUGGAGAGGAGACUGGAAUUUACGGUGUAGCGGUGAAAUGCGUAGAUAUCGUAAGGAAGACCAGUGGCGAAGGCGGGUCUCUGGACAGUUCCUGACGCUGAGGCACGAAAGCGUGGGGAGCAAAAGGG